GCCAAGACAAAAAGGGACUGGGUUUGGAGAAAGCGUCGCGCGGGCUCACCUCGGGGCCGCGCUCCCCCAGCCUCGCGGUCGGCCGCCUAGCCGCCAGCCACCCCGCCGGGCGCCUCGGAGCAUUGUUUGGAGAUCCACAGGGAUGAGCCGCUGAGCCUCCACCCAGCUGGAGAGGAGGAAGACUGGUUUCCCUUGAGAUUCCUGUGCUUUCCAUGAGCUCUGGCAGUGACAACAGGCCUGAGCGGGUGAGGAGGGAAGAAAGCCGACAUGCAGAGGACCACAUAAUUUGCCAAGGCCCAUCAGCUGAACAGUGGCAACACUGGGAUCAGAGGCAACAACCGCAUGGGUCCACUGGUGGACAAUCCCAGUCUGCCGUGCUGCCCUCUCCCAAGUUCUGGCAGUCCAGCCCAAUUUUUCUUUCUUCUUAAAGUGAGAGGAAACCACGUGAACGAACGUGGAGGGAAAACUCUGGCUGACCUCCAUCAGCAUCCAACAAAACGGGAGGGGCCAGGCCUCUCUUUACUAAGACCGGGUGGGGAGGAGGGUGUUGAUAAGCAGACAGAUACAAAGUGGUCUGCACUGGACAAAUACAAAAAUGGCAUAAGGAUGUGCGUGCGGUUUAGUUACAGUGGGAGAUGGCGCACGCCCGGGAUCAGAGGAGUUCCUGGUUCCCAUGAUUCAGGCUGGAUGCGACCGUUCUUCCUCUGUAAGGCCUGAGUGGGGACACCCACCUCACAGGAUCGAGCAUACAGAAGGCAUUCUUGUUCCCACUUGAUCUUCCUCUCUUUACUUACUGUAUCCUGAAGACACAGACAGGCUGAGGAAGUAAUGAUCAGAAGCCAAGGCAACAGUAUGACGGGAUUGGCAGUUCUGUGGCAUGGGACGACAAUUGAAGGGUUAAUUUAGUCUUUCUGCAAAAUAAACCAUGUUCCCAAGUGUUUUGCUGUGCUCACACAAAAUAAAUGCAUUAUACUGUAGUUGCUGGCAUAUCACGUGCAUCUUUUUAUGCCAGCGACAUGGCCUUAAAGAUGGCUUCAUCUUGCCUAAUGAAAAGAAUCAAAAAAUACUUCAAAAGACCCACUUAGAUCCACGUAAAAUACCCAUUCUCUUAUGCAGUUCUCCACCAGUGACUGUUAAGUGUGUUAUCUCCUCAGUAAAGCUGCGGUAAGCUUAUGCAUUUUAAAUAAACAAUUCUUGCUUGA